UUUAGGGAGACCUACACCCCUCAGAAAUCGAAAAACACACAGUUAUAUAGAUACUGAGUUGGUCGAACCUAGGUCGGUCGCAGAUAUUUGCAUUGUUGAAAGCUUUCAAACUAUGAUGAAGGUUCGAUAUGGGCUAUUAGCUCAGGUGGUUAGAGCGCACCCCUGAUAAGGGUGAGGUCCCUGGUUCGAGUCCAGGAUGGCCCACCUGAAUCAAUGCAAAAUUAUGAAUUCAAAAUUCAAAAUUAAGAAAUUGUUUUUGAAUUUUGCAUUUGGAAUUUUGAAUUGUGUUGGGGGGUUUAGCUCAGUUGGUAGAGCGCCUGCUUUGCAAGCAGGAUGUCAGCGGUUCGAGUCCGCUAACCUCCACCUGUGGCGAUUGCCAUUGAUAAAAAGAAUUGAGAAAUUAGCAAUAUGACUUGAUGUCAGACUGCUGAGAGAUUCUCAGCCAGAACCUUGAAAACUGCAUAGUAACGCGAAUUAGCAGGCAGACACGGACAUUCCGAAAGGAUGUUUUAGUGAAUGCAAUCAUGUGAAACACCAAAAAUUUGAGU
rnacentral:tRNA from 1 species